GCCGGGCAUGGUGGUGCAUGCCUGUAAUCCCAGUUACUGGGGAGGCUGAGGUGAGAGAAUCACUUGAACCCGGGAGGUGGAGGUUGCAGUGAGCUAAGAUCUCACCACUGCACUCCAGCCUGGGUGACAGAGCGAGACCUUGUCUCAA
rnacentral:SRP_RNA from 1 species